AUUGAACGCUGGCGGCAGGCCUAACACAUGCAAGUCGAGCGGAUGAAGGGAGCUUGCUCCUGGAUUCAGCGGCGGACGGGUGAGUAAUGCCUAGGAAUCUGCCUGGUAGUGGGGAAUAACGUCCGGAAACGGGCGCUAAUACCGCAUACGUCCUGAGGGAGAAAGUGGGGGAUCUUCGGACCUCACGCUAUCAGAUGAGCCUAGGUCGGAUUAGCUAGUUGGUGGGGUAAAGGCCUACCAAGGCGACGAUCCGUAACUGGUCUGAGAGGAUGAUCAGUCACACUGGAACUGAGACACGGUCCAGACUCCUACGGGAGGCAGCAGUGGGGAAUAUUGGACAAUGGGCGAAAGCCUGAUCCAGCCAUGCCGCGUGUGUGAAGAAGGUCUUCGGAUUGUAAAGCACUUUAAGUUGGGAGGAAGGGCAGUAAGUUAAUACCUUGCUGUUUUGACGUUACCAACAGAAUAAGCACCGGCUAACUUCGUG
rnacentral:rRNA from 1 species